AGAUUGAACGCUGGCGGCAUGCCUUACACAUGCAAGUCGAACGGCAGCACGGGAGCAAUCCUGGUGGCGAGUGGCGAACGGGUGAGUAAUAUAUCGGAACGUGCCCAGUCGUGGGGGAUAACGCAGCGAAAGCUGUGCUAAUACCGCAUACGAUCUCUGGAUGAAAGCGGGGGACUCGCAAGGGCCUCGCGCGAUUGGAGCGGCCGAUAUCAGAUUAGCUAGUUGGUGGGGUAAAAGCUCACCAAGGCGACGAUCUGUAGCUGGUCUGAGAGGACGACCAGCCACACUGGAACUGAGACACGGUCCAGACUCCUACGGGAGCAGCAGUGGGGAAUAGUUGGACAAUGGGACGAAAGCC
rnacentral:rRNA from 1 species